UACGAGAGGCCCAAACGUUAUUCGGAAUUACUGGGCUUAAAGAGUUCGUAGGCGGCAUGAAAGUAGGGUGUGAAGCCCUCGGCUCAACCGAGGAAUUGCGCUCUAAACUGUCGUGCUCGAGGAAUCUAGAGGUGAGCGGAACUGAUGGUGGAGCGGUGAAAUGCGCAGAUAUCAGGAGGAACACCGGUGGCGAAGGCGGGUCUCUGGGCCGAUACUGACGCUGAGGAAGCGAAAGCGUGGGGAGCAAACAGG
rnacentral:rRNA from 1 species